AGGUCUUUGGAGUUGGGCACAUGUGAGUUCAGGUCUCGUUUGCACCUUUUACUAGUUGCAUUUCCUGGGGGCACAUUUCUACUUUAUGUGAGCUUCUGUUUCCACAACCGUGCAAUUGGACUCUUGUGAUUUCUCCUUCAUGGAGCUGUCAUGAAGAUGAAUGGGGAGAUGUAUGGAAGGCACUGGCAGGAGGCCCAGCAGGACCAGGCCCUCAGGAGAUGGUGUUUGUGCUGCUCAUUCUCAUCACCAGUUCUGGGGGGAACAUCCCUCAUGAGCCAGGCUUGUUGAUGACAACCUUCUCAGCAGGCAAGUGGCAGAGGAGAUGAGGAGGGACCCAAAAGUCCAAGCUCCCACCAGGGGUAGGCAGGCAAAAAGGAGGAGCAGAGGAUUCUAUGGUUUGUCAGCAAUUACCAGGUUCUCUGGGACAGUGUAGACAGGGCACGGAAAUGGGAUUGCAUUUUACUGUUUGGCUUUGAGUUUAGACUUUUGGUCCAGGCUAUGGACAUGGAUGUGCAAAUAUUAUGUUUGAGUCCCUGCUUUGGCUUCUUUUGGGUAUAUAUCCAGAAGUAGAAUUUGAAUCAAACAGUAAUUCUAUUUUUAUUUUUAUUUUUUUAUUAUACUUUAAGUUCUAGGGCACUGUUUGCUUUUCUGUCCUUGUGAUAGUUUGCUGGGAAUGAUGGUUUCCAGUUAUAUACCCAGUAAUGGGAUCGCUGGGUCAAAUGGUAUUUCUAGUUCUAGAUCCUUGAAGAAUCACCGCACUGUCUUCCACAAUUGUUGAACUAAUUUACACCCCCACCAACAAUGUAAAAGCGUUCCUAUUUCUCCACAUCCUCUCCAGCAUCUGUUGUUUCCUGACCUUUUCAUGAUCACCAUUCUAACUGGUGUGAGAUAGUAUCUCAUUGUGGUUUUGAUUUGCAAUUCUCUGAUGACCAGUGUUGAUGAGCAUUUUUCCAUGUGUCUGUUGGAUGCAUAAAUGUCUUCUUUUGAGAAGUGUCUGCUCAUAUCCUUUGCCCACUUUUUGAUGGGGUUGUUCGGUUUUUUGCUUGUAAAUUUGUUUAAGUUCUUGGCAGAUUCUGGACUUUAGCCCUUUGUCAGAUGGGUAGAUUGCAAAAAUUUUCUCCCAUUCUGUAGGUUGCCUGUUCACUCUGAUGAUAGUUUCUUUUGCUGUGCAGAAGCUCUUUAGUUUAAUUAGAUCCCAUUUGUCUAUUUUGGCUUUUGUUGCCAUUGCUUUUGGUGUUUUAGUCAUGAAGUCUUUUCCCAUGCCUAAGUCCUGAAUGGUAUUGCCUAGGUUUUCUUCUAGGGCUUUUAUGGUUUUAAGUCUAAUAUUUAAGUCUUUAAUCCAUCUUGAGUUAAUUUUUGUAUAAGGUAUAAGGAAGGGAUCCAGUUUCAGCUUUCUAUAUAUGGCUAGCCAGUUUUCCCAGCACCAUUUAUUAAA
rnacentral:lncRNA from 1 species